rnacentral:tRNA from 1 species
GACCCAGUAGCUCAGUUGGUAGAGCAGCACCCUUUUAAGGUGAUGGUCGCAGGUUCAAAUCCUGCCUGGGUCA